AUUGAACGCUGGCGGCAUGCUUUACACAUGCAAGUCGAACGGCAGCGCGGGCUUCGGCCUGGCGGCGAGUGGCGAACGUGUGAGUAAUGCAUCGUAACGUGCCCAGUAGUUUGGGAUAGCCCGGCGAAAGCCGGAUUAAUACCGCAUACGACCUGAGGGUGAAAGCGGGGGACCGAAAGGCCUCGCGCUAUUGGAGCUGCCGAUGUCGGAUUAGCUAGUUGGUGGGGUAAAGGCUUACCAAGGCGACGAUCCGUAGCUGGUCUGAGAGGACGACCAGCCACACUGGGACUGAGACACGGCCCAGACUCCUACGGGAGGCAGCAGUGGGGAAUUUUGGACAAUGGGGGCAACCCUGAUCCAGCCAUGCCGCGUGCGGGAAGAAGGCCUUCGGGUUGUAAACCGCUUUUGUUCGGGAAGAAAUCCUCUGGGCUAAUACCCCGGGGGGAUGACGGUACCGGAAGAAUAAGCACCGGCUAACUACGUG
rnacentral:rRNA from 1 species